GCCGCGGUAUUUUGACCGUGCAAAGGUAGCGCAAUCACUUGUCUCUUAAAUAGAGACCUGUAUGAAUGGCUAGACGAGGGCUUAACUGUCUCCCCCUUCCAGUCAGUGAAAUUGAUCUAUCCGUGCAGAAGCGGGUGUAAUUAUACAAGACGAGAAGACCCUUUGGAGCUUAAGGUACAAAGUUCAACCACGUUAAACGACUCCACAGAAAGCAAGAACUUAGUGGCAAAUGAAACUUUACCUUCGGUUGGGGCGACCACGGAGGAGAAGAAAGCCUCCGAGUGGACUGGGCUAAAUCCCCAAAGCCAAGAGAUACAUCUAUAAGCCGCAGAACAUCUGACCAAAAAUGAUCCGACUGAAAAGCCGAUCAACGAACCAAGUUACCCUAGGGAUAACAGCGCAAUCCUCUCCCAGAGUCCAUAUCGACGAGGGGGUUUACGACCUCGAUGUUGGAUCAGGACAUCCUAAUGGUGCAGCCGCUAUUAAGGGUUCGUUUGUUCAACGAUUAAAGUCCUACGUGAUCU
rnacentral:rRNA from 1 species